AUGAUUUUGUUCAUUUCUAUGGUCAUGCUUUCAGGUUUAUCAAAUGGUGAGUAUAGUCUUAUGGAUAUAAAAUGUCAUGAUGGUAACUGCGCAAUUUAUGGAGAAUGCAAUACUGUUUGUAUUAAAAAUGGAUUUAAGAAAGGUGGUACCUGUCGAUUAAUUUUUCCUAAAUAUUUGAAGUGUUGUUGUACUGUAGGAUGA